GAGGGUGGCAGAGCCCAGCCACCAGGGUCUGCUCCAUGCCUGGUCCCUGGAGAGGCCCUCACCCUCUCUGCUUUCACCCAACCCGACUGACACGGAGUAGGAGGUGGGAAUCAUGCAGGCAGGGAGCUUAGGAAGCCUGGUUCAAGCUCCUGUCCCGGCUCCCUAAGGUGUUCCCAGUUUGCGGAGGAUUACGUGCCCUCUCAGCCCAGUAGCACACUUUCCAAAUAAGCCAUCAGACUCCUCCCAAGAUCCUGAAACUGAGGCUCAGAGAGCAGAAGCAGCUUGGCCAAAGUCAUACAACUGGUAGUUGGUAAAGGAGCUGGCCUUGAACUCAGGGAUAUCUUGAAAGCCACUGUUGCUUCUAUGGACUCUAGCCAUUCAAAAGACCCCUCACCUUCUAUAAGACCCCAGGAGAUCCUCAGGGUCCAACUGCUCCCUUGAAAACAGGUCCCAGAUAUAUCUGCCAAAGGUAUGAUUAGGUGCCUAAACACAUACCAUGAGAAAGGGAUUCCAUGUCUUCCAAUCCUGCCCAGAGAUGCAGAGACACCACCACCCAGGGAGAGAUAGCCAGAAACUAAAAUAAGAUGUUAGAGACAGGUGGUUGAUAGUGACAGAUACAGCCACACCAAGACAGGCUCAAAGGGAGGAAGACUGAGGGGAAGCCAGAGACAGAGAGGGACACAUUAGGCCAAAGAAUGAGAGAGAUAGCUGGAAAAGGAGACAAUAGGAGUAGAGGAGGGUACAGGCUGACAUGAAAAAACACCGACAGAUACACUCCAGUAUGCAGACAGACACAUAUAGACCCAUCUGACCUUCACAAGAAACAGACUGUGAAAGCAAGCAAGGCUCAGGCUGUGUGUGGUGUGCGUAUGUGUGUGUGCGUAUUGUGGGGGGAGCAUGCAGAGUCUGUAUAGCUACGCACAUUACACCAGCUGCUUCCAGCAAUUUCAUCUGAUUAAUAAUAAAUGCCCCAUAAUUACAGCC
rnacentral:lncRNA from 1 species